GCCCGGCUAGCUCAAUCGGUAGAGCGUGUGACUCUUAUGAUUCAAUAUCUAUGAGUUCUUCUGAAAUCACAAGGUUGGGGGUUCGACCCCCCCGUUGGGCU
rfam:Sclerotinia sclerotiorum 1980 scaffold_6 genomic scaffold, whole genome shotgun sequence.